GUCACUUUGCCGGAGUGGUUAACGGGAUCGCCUGCUAACGGAGCUAUCCGGGCCACCUGUCCGGUGUUCCGUGUCAGUUAGCGGUUGGGCUUUGCCCGCGUGUGUUCGAAUCGCACAGGUGACG
rnacentral:tRNA from 1 species